rnacentral:rRNA from 1 species
AUCGAACGCUGGCGGCAGGCCUAACACAUGCAAGUCGAGCGGAUGAAGGGAGCUUGCUCCUGGAUUCAGCGGCGGACGGGUGAGUAAUGCCUAGGAAUCUGCCUGGUAGUGGGGGAUAACGUCCGGAAACGGGCGCUAAUACCGCAUACGUCCUGAGGGAGAAAGUGGGGGAUCUUCGGACCUCACGCUAUCAGAUGAGCCUAGGUCGGAUUAGCUAGUUGGUGGGGUAAAGGCCUACCAAGGCGACGAUCCGUAACUGGUCUGAGAGGAUGAUCAGUCACACUGGAACUGAGACACGGUCCAGACUCCUACGGGAGGCAGCAGUGGGGAAUAUUGGACAAUGGGCGAAAGCCUGAUCCAGCCAUGCCGCGUGUGUGAAGAAGGUCUUCGGAUUGUAAAGCACUUUUAGUUGGGAGGAAGGGCAGUAAGUUAAUACCUUGCUGUUUUGACGUUACCAACAGAAUAAGCACCGGCUAACUUCGUG